rnacentral:lncRNA from 1 species
GGAAAUAUUUUUGCUAUAUGGGGUGUUGAACCAACUUACAUUUCUAGUUCUAUUCUGCUUUUUUUAUUCUAGUCAAAUUUUAGUUCAAAAUUUUCAAAACCACUUUUUUAAGGGCAUCUUCAAAUAUUCAUUUGGAGGAAUUAAAUACAUUUUCAUUAGAGGAGUUUUGGUUUAGCCUGUUAUUAUUUGAAAUCAGGGUUUGUUUUAGAAUUUGUGGUGGAUGAUUAUGUUUAUUUCGAUUUGAAAGCCAAUAUUUUAAAAAACUUUUAUAAUAUCUUUAUAAUUUAUAAUUUGCUCUUUUGCAAAGUAAAAGACUUUGAAAUUAAGUAAAUAUUUUAUUGGUGAUUAAAUGAUUGCCUAAAAUUUAUAUAAAAAAAUAUAUUUGUCAGCAAUGUUGACUAGAAAAUUUAUAUUUAUUUAGUUAAAAUGAUCAAUGAAAGUAUUUAUGGUAUUUAGUAUUAAAGGAUACAUCAUUAUUUGAUGCAAUAUAUUGUAGAUGUUGUGUGGAUUUCAAUGUUAAACUGUUUUUCUCCAAAAAAGCUUUAGCCAAAAAGAUAAAUAAAUUAGUUGGCACCAUCAGUAAGUUAAAGAAACAACAAAAAAUUAUCAUUAAAAGUUGUUAAUUGUAGGCUUUUUUCCACCUUUUGCAAGUUUUCCUCAUAAUACAGUAAAUGCAUCUGAAAUUCAGAAACAAUGCUAUUAAGCAAAAACAAAAUGCCUAAAAAAGAAAGGAAAAUUUUAAAAAGGAAAAUGGAAUCUAUGAUAGAUUUAAAAAUGGAUUAUUUUACACAUCUAAUAAGUUUUGAAAAUAUGCAUAAUUGAAGGUAUGCAAUUUCGAAGAGCUAUAAAAGGCAAAAGCGCUCCCUUCUCAACAAAAUUUUUGUCGCAUAAUCUUAGAUGUCAAAUGUAACAAAAAUUUUUUUUUGUAAAACAAAGGUAAAAGAAAGAAAAAGAAUAAACUUGUCUUCAGAGGAAUUACAUCAAAAUCUACUUAUUGUCAUUCAAGCAAAUUUAACACCAAACAAACAAUCUUUAGGUAAUAUAAGUAAUAAUUUAAAGCCUAGUGUAAUACAUGAUGCAGCUGUUGAAAGCAAAAAAAAAAAAAAUUAAUGGAAAAAAUAUAGUAUGCAAAUUUAAACUAAUAAAUAAAGCAACAAAAAAAACGUUUAUUAUCAAAAUUUAUUUACAAUCUAUCUGAUUUUGUAGGUUUUUCUAUACAACAUUAUAUAGAGAAAAAGAUUCUCUUGAAAUCUUGAUACACACAAGUGGCACAAAUGGUACAAGUUGAUCAACUAAACGCUGAAUGAACCAUAUACCUUGUUAAGUAUGAUAAAGAACCUGAUGAAGCAUGGUCAUUUCCUUUAAUAAUUGAUUUUGAAAAAGGUGAUCUUACUCUUACUAUAAAAAUAAGAAUCAUCAUUAGAUUCAGAAUAUAAUUCUGUCGGUUGCUAUUUCAACAUAUAAUUUAAGAAAGCUGGAUAACUUUGCUUUAGAGUGUGUUCGGUAUGCGAUAUCGAGUGAAGCUGCUGCAGCUCUUGGUAAUGGACUUUUAAAAGAUCUUGGAGUUAUUACUAAAACUGAUAAAACUGAUGUUUUAGAUGAAAGUAAAAUGGAUCAAUCUAAAAAAAGGGUUUGCCUUCAGUCUGUUGCUGAACACAAUAUCAUAGUGCAAAAUCUUUUAUGUAUUGGAUGUGACAGUAAGGAUGAUAAAGGUAGCCUGGUUUAUAGAAGUAUGUUGCCAGAUAGUAUUAGCAAAAAAAAAAAAUUAAUAGAAAUGGUUUAUCAUCUAAGUUUUACAGUAGAAUCGGGAGAAAUGAAAGGUAGAUAUCUGACACAAAAAAGAUAUUUUAAAUGCCACAAGAGAAAAUUUAGCGCUGUCUGAUUUUGAAGUGUUAAAACAAUACAACAGUGUUGAUUCUUUUUUAGGAAUUGUUUUCUAAAAUACAAAUGUCAACACUGGAUAUAAAACUGGCCUUUGUGCCAGUCUUGAAAGAAAAUUUGGCAGAACAAUUCAUAAAAUUGGCUGUGCACUUCAUAGCAACGAGUUACCUUUGCGCCAUAUUAUAGAACAGCUAGAUGGCGGUACAAACACUCCGCAAAGAUUUUUUGGUGAAAUUGGAAAAGGUGCAGCACAAGACCUUCAUCAUAAACCCAUUACCAAAUUCGAACCUGUUUUAACUUCUUUAGUUAUGCCAGAAAAGAGUGUGAUCAAUGACUUAAGUUCUGAUCAAAGGUUAUUGCUAGAAUAAGUGUGGUAUAAGUUCAGGUGAGCAUAUUUUAAAAAUAUAUAACAUAAAAAUUAAUCUACUUAAUGUAUUUAAUUACAGACGUUUACUCCUAUUAUAAUUUAUUGUUAAAAAAGAACAUUUAAAUCUAUUUAAAUUUAAGUGUUGUAAAUCUAGUUUACGCUCAUUAUAAAAUUGAUCCAGUUAAUCAUGCUAGGUGGCUGACAUUAGCAAUACGUAUUUUAGUUUUGUAUUCAAGAGCAGAACAACCUACUCCUGUCCUUAAAGAGAUAGAAAUUACAUACAGACAGAGUAUGGCCCCACAUGGUUUGCUAUUAAGAAAUCAAAGAACUUUACUGAAAGGUCAAAAAUUUUAUACACAACAUUAAAAAUUUAAAAAAAUUUAAGCCAAACUAUACCAGACAUUAUACUACCUGUUGUUUUAAGAAAUGCGUAUUGUCUUCUCCCAGAAAACUUUCUUUUAUCCUUUUUUGUUGAUGAUUUGAAAGAAAUACGAAACAGAGUAGUUAGGCUGAUUUUAAAAUGUCGAGAUAAUCCUCCGGCUGCCCCAGUUGAUAGAAUAUAUGGUGGUAUCAGAAUUAAAAAAAUCCCAAAUAUUGAAAAUCUUGAAAUUGAAUGUGACACAUGGGCAGAUCUGCUUUCUGAUGAUAAACUGAUCUAUGAACCUCCUGCUACUAAAAACCUGACUUAUCAGGAACUACUCAAUACAAUUGAAUGUAAACUAGAUCCUUGUGAGCUUGGUUGGGACUUUCCGUUACAUAGUCAGUCUGUUAAGCGUGCUGUAAAGCAUGUUUCUGAGGUUUUAAAAAAAGUCUAUAGUCUUUACAGAAUAGACAUGGUUUAGCAGUAGGGAAGCAAAAAAGCCGAAUAUUAAGAAAAUAGUUUUAUUUGAAAAAAGAUUACGUUAUAUAGUA